UCCGUAGGCGGGUAAUUAAGUCAGAGGUGAAAUCCCACAGCUUAACUGUGGAACUGCCUUAGAUACUGGUUAUCUUGAGUUUUAGUGAAGUAGAUAGAAUGUGUAGUGUAGCGGUGAAAUGCAUAGAUAUUACACAGAAUACCGAUUGCGAAGGCAGUCUACUAACUAACAACUGACGCUAAUGGACGAAAGCGUGGGGAGCGAACAGGAUUAGCUACCCUGGUAGUCC
rnacentral:rRNA from 1 species